UCUCCUAAAAAUACAGAAUUAUCUGGGCGAGGUAUCUGUCUUUUAUGCUGGAUAUUGCAGUCUGCUCAGUACUGCUGAGGGUAAUCUGUCCCCUAGGUCCUACAGCCAUGUGCCCUGAUAUGCCAAGUUUCAUCAGGUGGUAUCCCAGGUUAUGAGACUACAGCAGAAAAUCAUAAUUUAUAGAAUUUCUGCAUUUAUAGGCAGUGGAGGAGACUGCAAGAACAGAGUUGGAAUACACAUCUUUAAAAAGGAGAUCUACAGUGAUUCAGUCACUAUGUAUGCGGUGGACAGUCAGGUGCAGAACCUCCAUAAUUAUUAAUCUUGUGUAGCUGAGACCAUUGUCAAAGGAAAUAAAGGUUUUAUGGAUUCCU